GCGGGGGGGCGCUAGUUACCGAGCGGCAGGAGCUGAGACGGGUUGGUCGUCGCGUUGGCCGCCAUCUUGAAACCAGACCUCACCAAUCGCAGCUAUCGGAAGAGAGGGCUUCAGCUCCCUCCGCCAGCAGCCCUGGCCAAUGGAUGGCAGAGCAAUCGGGCGGCUGCCGCUCCGAGGCUCCGGCUGCAGCGGGGCAGGGCCUGAGUGGCAGAGCUGCUGAGCACUGCGCCGCCGCCACCUCCUUCCAGAUUCAAUGGAAAACGCAGGGGCUUUGACAAUGAGGCUCCAAAUUAGGGUUGGCUCCUGUCCAGGCUCUCCCAGGAGAGUCCCUUUUUGGUGGUAGCUGCCCUGGGAAAUCCGCAAAGGUGCUGGAUAUACCCUGCCACCAGCUGUCCGGUUCGAUGGGCUCCGGGACCUCCUGGAUGGCCCAGGUUUUUGUUCCGCACGGGUGGCAAUGCUACAUCAAAUACUCAGGCCUGGUCUACGCUAGGAAUUUCCAUUGGUAUAGCUACAUCUCUCAAUCCACACCCCGAGAGACGUAUCUAAACUGACUUAAACCCCCCCAGUGUGGACAGCACUAGGUUGACAGAAGAAUUCUAGCAACCACCUCUCGGGGAGGUGGUGUAGGCAAGGCCUAAACAAAAAUGUCACUGUGGCCUUAACUCUGCACCUGUUAGCAUCAAUACCAUAUUAUAACAGAGUGCCAGCUCUGCUCUGAGUUUAGGUUAAGCUUCACUUUCCGUUUAAAAGUUGGCUCUUCUAAGUGGCCUAAAAUUCCUGUGCUUACUCAGAUUGGCUUGAAAUUUGGUGUGCCUCAUGUGGUUCUCUGUAAUGUUACUGGUACAAAUUUGGGAUCAUUUGAGUAUGGGGUUCCUGAGAUACAGCAUCUACUAUUUACAAAAUCAACUAAUUCUUCCAACUUUUUUGCCCUCAUCUAGGGCUGAGACUAUGGCUCUGAUCCUCCCUAACCUGUCACUCGGGAUUUAUCUCAGCUAGUGGAUGGCACCCGCUGCCCCUCUGGGACGGUUAUCUUGAAGAAGUUAUUUGGAGUUGUUGCAAAAGUAGGUGGAGCCACAAAGAAUGAAAUGUGCACAUGCCCAUGCAGCAAAACUAGGACCCUGCUGAAGCAAGAUGGUUCCCAGAAAGAGAGUCCUUUCAUCUGAUUUCCACAAAGAAGCUUAAUGACUGAGAGCCUGUGUGACGCUCUGUACCUCGGGGAAAUACUCUACACGCCCAUGUUCAUCUUUAUAAAAUGAUUGUGUGGUAUCCAAUGCAAAGUUUGUCAUGUUGGGUGUCUUCAGAAGGCUCAUGAUGCAGGCAAAAACUCUCCAAGAGCUGAGAGGCAGUUCAUACCUCAUCAGGGCACGUGUGGGACAAACCUAGCCCAGCCUCACAGGAACAAAGGACACUGGCCUAGACAUCAACAAAAUAAUCUGUUGGACUCUUGAGGGAGUCACCCCCCUCUUUCUUUGGUCAGUUUGGGACUGUCAUGAGGUAAUGCUCACCUGACUCUGGGAUGGGGGUGGGGGGCAAAGCCAAGAGUGAAGAAAGGACAUGAUAAAAGGGAGAGACAUUUGCCAUGCUCUCUCUCUCUCUCUCUCUUCCGUCUACACCUACAGACCCCGCACCAAGCGACUGAAGCGCUGAUCAAAGGGGAGAGCCUGGCUGAAGAGCAACCAGCCAGUCUGUGGUGAGAAGCAUCUAAGUUUGUAAGGGCAUUGAAAGUGUUACGGUCAGCUUAGAAUGCGUUUUGCUUUUAUUUCAUUUGACCAAGGCUGACUUGUUAUGCUUUGACUUAUAAUCACUUAAAAUCGAUCUUUGAUAUUAAUAAAGCUGUUUGUUUAUUCUA